AUACUUGCCUGGCAAGGUAGGCAGUGUGAUCAGGAAGAUGGUUUUCUUGUGGUGUUCCAUCUGUUGCAGUGUGGGUGUGCUUGACCCGUGAGGUUUAUCUAGAAGUAGGAAACAUGACUACAUAAUUUUGGGGUGGGGAGUGCAUUCACACUCCUCUA
rnacentral:snRNA from 10 species